rnacentral:rRNA from 1 species
AUUGAACGCUGGCGGCAGGCCUAACACAUGCAAGUCGAACGGAACCUUCGGGUUUAGUGGCGAACGGGUGAGUAAUGCCUAGGAAUCUGCCUAUUAGUGGGGGAUAACGAAUCGAAAGGUUCGCUAAUACCGCAUACGUCCUACGGGAGAAAGAGGGGAGUCUUCGGACCUCUUGCUAAUAGAUGAGCCUAGGUCGGAUUAGCUGGUUGGUGAGGUAAAGGCUCACCAAGGCGACGAUCUGUAGCUGGUCUGAGAGGAUGGCCAGCCACACUGGAACUGAGACACGGUCCAGACUCCUACGGGAGGCAGCAGUGGGGAAUAUUGGACAAUGGGCGCAAGCCUGAUCCAGCCAUGCCGCGUGUGUGAAGAAGGCCCUCGGGUUGUAAAGCACUUUAAGCGAGGAGGAAGGUCAUCAUACUAAUAUUAUGAUGAAUUGACGUUACUCGCAGAAUAAGCACCGGCUAACUCUGUGCCAGCAGCCG